GAUGAACGCUGGCGGCGUGCCUAAUACAUGCAAGUCGAGCGAACGGACGAGAAGCUUGCUUCUCUGAUGUUAGCGGCGGACGGGUGAGUAACACGUGGAUAACCUACCUAUAAGACUGGGAUAACUUCGGGAAACCGGAGCUAAUACCGGAUGAUAUUUUGAACCGCAUGGUUCAAAAGUGAAAGACGGUCUUGCUGUCACUUAUAGAUGGAUCCGCGCUGCAUUAGCUAGUUGGUAAGGUAACGGCUUACCAAGGCAACGAUGCAUAGCCGACCUGAGAGGGUGAUCGGCCACACUGGAACUGAGACACGGUCCAGACUCCUACGGGAGGCAGCAGUAGGGAAUCUUCCGCAAUGGGCGAAAGCCUGACGGAGCAACGCCGCGUGAGUGAUGAAGGUCUUCGGAUCGUAAAACUCUGUUAUUAGGGGAGAACAUAUGUGUAAGUAACUGUGCACAUCUUGACGGUACCUAAUCAGAAAGCCACGGCUAACUACGUG
rnacentral:rRNA from 1 species